rnacentral:rRNA from 1 species
CUAACACAUGCAAGUCGAGGGGUAAGUUCAGCUUGCUGAAUACACGACGGCGCACGGGUGAGUAACACGUUUGCACCUUCCUCUAACUGGAGAAUAGCGCGAAGAAAUCCGGAUUAAUACUCCAUAAAGUCAAUGUAAGGCAUCUUUUAUUGAUUAGAGCUCCGGCGGUUAGAGAUGGGCAUGCGUGUCAUUAGCUAGUUGGUGAGGUAACGGCUCACCAAGGCCACGAUGACUAGGGGGUCUGAGAGGAUGAUCCCCCACACUGGUACUGAGACACGGACCAGACUCCUACGGGAGGCAGCAGUGAGGAAUAUUGGGCAAUGGACGCAAGUCUGACCCAGCCAUGCCGCGUGCAUGAUGACUGCCCUAUGGGUUGUAAACCUGCUUUUGUUUGGGAAGAAACCCCCGAUCGUGAUCGGGGCUGACGGUACCAUACGAAAUAAGCAUCGGCUAACUCCGUGCCAGCAGCCGCGGUAAUACGGAGGAUGCAAGCGUUAUCCGGAUUCAUUGGGUUUAAAGGGUGCGCAGGCGGAAUAUUAAGUCAGUGGUGAAAUCCUGCAGCUUAACUGUAGAACUGCCAUUGAUACUGAUAUUCUUGAAUAUAGUUGAGGUGGNCGGAAUGUGUAAUGUAGCGGUGAAAUGCUUAGAUAUUACACAGAACACCAAUUGCGAAGGCAGCUCACUAAACUAAUAUUGACGCUGAGGCACGAAAGCGUGGGUAGCAAACAGGAUUAGAUACCCUGGUAGUCCACGCUGUAAACUAUGAUCACUCGCUGUUGGCAAUACAUCGUCAGCGGCUGAGCGAAAGCAUUAAGUGAUCCACCUGGGGAGUACGGUCGCAAGAUUGAAACUCAAAGGAAUUGACGGGGGCCCGCACAAGCGGAGGAACAUGUGGUUUAAUUCGAUGAUACGCGAGGAACCUUACCUGGGCUUAAAUGCAGAGCGACGUCCGCCGAAAGGUGGAUUCCUUCGGGCGAUCUGCAAGGUGCUGCAUGGUUGUCGUCAGCUCGUGCCGUGAGGUGUCGGGUUAAGUCCCAUAACGAGCGCAACCCUUAUCGUUAGUUGCCAGCGGGUAAUGCCGGGGACUCUAACGAAACUGCCGGUGUAAACCGUGAGGAAGGUGGGGAUGACGUCAAAUCAGCACGGCCCUUAUGUCCAGGGCUACACACGUGUUACAAUGGUCGGUACAGAGGGCAGCUACCACGCAAGUGGAUGCUAAUCUCGAAAACCGGUCUCAGUUCGGAUUGAAGUCUGCAACUCGACUUCAUGAAGCUGGAUUCGCUAGUAAUCGCGCAUCAGCCAUGGCGCGGUGAAUACGUUCCCGGGCCUUGUACACACCGCCCGUCAAGCCAUGGAAGCUUGGGGUACCUGAAGUCCGUAACCGCAAGGAGCGGCCUAGGGUAAGACAAGUGACUGGGGCUAAGUCGU